GAUGAACGCUGGCGGCGUGCCUAAUACAUGCAAGUCGAGCGAACAGACGAGGAGCUUGCUCCUCUGACGUUAGCGGCGGACGGGUGAGUAACACGUGGAUAACCUACCUAUAAGACUGGGAUAACUUCGGGAAACCGGAGCUAAUACCGGAUAAUAUAUUGAACCGCAUGGUUCAAUAGUGAAAGACGGUUUUGCUGUCACUUAUAGAUGGAUCCGCUCCGCAUUAGCUAGUUGGUAAGGUAACGGCUUACCAAGGCAACGAUGCGUAACCGACCUGAGAGGGUGAUCGGCCACACUGGAACUGAGACACGGUCCAGACUCCUACGGGGGGCAGCAGUAGGGAAUCUUCCGCAAUGGGCGAAAGCCUGACGGGGCAAAGCCGCGUGAGUGAUGAAGGUCUUCGGAUCCUAAAACUCUGUUAUUAGGGAAGAACAAAUGUGUAAGUAACUAUGCACGUCUUGAAGGUACCUAAUCAGAAAGCCACGGCUAACUACGUG
rnacentral:rRNA from 1 species